rnacentral:pre_miRNA from 1 species
UGUUAUGGACAAGCAAAGAAAGCAGCUUUUUGAGAUGGAAUCUACUCCCGGUGAAGAUGCUGUCAA